UAUUUUUGUGUUUAAUAGGUUAAAGGAGGAGUGGGCAGAUAACAGCAGAGAGAAGAGACUGGCUGGGACUUGAUAAGGUAAGUGUUUGUUAACUGUUCUGUGAGAUCUCUUUUAUGUGUUUGUCUCUUAUGCUUGUGCACGAUAGGUUUAAGGAGGAAGGGGCGGAGAGGAGAAUGGCUGGGGCUUGUCAGGUGUAUUUGCUCCGGUUUCCCAGGAAAAUAGAGGAGAGAAUGGCUGUGACCUGUCAGAGUUAGUGACCCUUCGUGGGUGGGCUGGGUUGCCCUUGGAUCAAGUCAUCUUCAUUCAGGUAAGGGAGUCUUGGUCCAAUGGAGUUCACCCCCCAGCCUUGAUUGAAGACGUACUCUCUCUCCAUUCCUUUUUUGGUUCCAUGUUUGGUAGGUCUGUCCUUUUCUUACUUGGUUAUCUUAUAAUGAUUAAUUAGAUAUUUAUUAAGUUUAUUGAGUUGGGCCUUAGGCCUGUUAAAUUAUGAUUUUGUG